rnacentral:rRNA from 1 species
AUGUCAGAUAUGGAACAGUCCUGCUCAAUGGAUGUAUUGGAGUACUUCUCUCAGAAGAUGAAGCUAAGGAUUUUGCGAUUCAAUGCUCUCAUGGUGGUUAAUGCCAUCUUGAUGGGGUUCAUGGUAGGGAUAGGCGCCUAUGGCCAUCGCUACCGUCACAUUCCGCUGAUCCGUUUCCUCUUCCUGGCUGCCACCACAUUGUUCCUGCCCAUUGUCUCUUAUAUUGUCUCUUCCAGUGAUUUAGGCACUGGCCAGUUGAUCAGCAUGCUAUAUGAUGGUGAGGCCGAGUCCAUAGUCAUAAAAGGGGAUUGUGAAGCAGAUGUUCACACCAUCUUGGUCCUUAUAUGGACGGCUCUUGCUCUGAAUAUUGGUAUAAAUACCACUGCAGUAGUUGCCGCUGAUGCUAGAGAAGGUCGAAGCAUUCCUCCCAAUAUUACGCUACUUAUUCAAGCAAUGUGGGCCUCCUACCUAGUACGAAUAUACAGCACCGUCCUAUAUUAUCAUCCUUACACACCUCUCAACAUAUUGUUGAGAGUCGGGCCAUUUGGUGUUAUAUUUGCCAAACUAGGACUGAAAUGUUAUGCAUGGUACGAAGCCAGAGAAUCAUUAGCCUUUGGACGCAAUCCUCGCCUAAUCGUUGGAUACAUGGAGGUGCUGCAGGAUGGAAGCCUUCAUGCUGAGUUGGCAUGUGAGCAUAUGCCUCCUCCAUUUAUAGUUACCGGAGAGCACACCAUGCAGGUCAAGGAGAAGCCUUCUGGCCACAGAUUAAAGUGGAUGUCCAACAUACUGAGAGAUGAUAUGUACAGCAGAGUGAUAGGUGAUAUGUACAGCAAGGACUUAGUGACCUUUGACAGAGUUUGGCAGUUGAGUGACACACUUCUGAGAUCAAAAUCAUUACAACUCAAAGAGCUAUGCUUUUCGUUCGCAUUAUUUAAACUGUUACGGUGUCGAAUUGCAAGAUAA